ACCAUGGACGGGUAGACCUGUGGUUCUCGUAGCUACCAAUAGUGAAAUUGAAUUCUUACAAGAGUGAAUACCACUUUUGUGAUAACCAAUUGAUAAUUCAUGAAUAUAAAUGAAUAAAAUUUGCUGUUUUUAACUACCGCUGUAAAAAUAAAAGUACCUAUCUGUUCCAUAUAACAAAAAAAAAAUAUUCAACAAAAAAUAUCCACUUAAAAGUGGACAGUUAAAAUAAAAGACCAUCAUUUUGCUAAAUAGAAGAGAAAAAAUUUAAUAUUUAUUAAAGAAAAAGAACCUGUAAAAUAUAACAAAAGAAAUUAAAUUAAUAAAAUAUAUAACAUUUUAAAAGGCUAAACCUAUAAACAAACCAAUCAUGAACGAAAAAACCGUAAUUGGGUUGAAAUGUCUCCUUAAACUUCUUCCAAUUCUCCAAGUUUUAUAUUUUAUCCACUGUAAAAAUAAUUGAUAAUUCUGUAAAAAAAAAAAAUAAAAUAAAAUCAUUUUUAAAUGUCAAAUAAUAAAAUAAAUUAAAUGUAAACAAAAUAUAAACUCACGGAAAAACGAACUCUUCUUUGGGGAUGAAAAACCCUAAUGGCUCUUCUCCUGCCCAUUAUAAUACCUUCGGCCUGGAGAUAAACAAGACCAAGAUUUUGCUGAAAUUCAAGAAACACAUAAAUUAUAAAUAUAAAAAAAAAUGAACGUUUAAUUUACAAAGACGAAUGUUUGCGGGAGGAAUUGAAGCAAAACCUCUCGCUGAAAUAAAAAUUUUCUUACCACAUCAUUUCGCCUUCUCCACCACAAACCAAGGUUCAUCCAAUCCCGUCGGCCAAACUAUAAGAAAAACCAAAUACAUGUAAAACAAUGGAUACCAAAAAAUAAUUCAAUAAACUAACGUUUCUAAAAAAUCCCAAA